rnacentral:rRNA from 1 species
GAUGAACGCUGGCGGCGUGCUUAACACAUGCAAGUCGAACGGUGAACGAGGGAGCUUGCUCCCUCCGGAUCAGUGGCGAACGGGUGAGUAACACGUGAGCAAUCUGCCCCGAACUCUGGGAUAAGCGCUGGAAACGGCGUCUAAUACCGGAUACGACGCGCGAAGGCAUCUUCUGCGCGUGGAAAGAAUUUCGGUUCGGGAUGAGCUCGCGGCCUAUCAGCUAGUUGGUGAGGUAACGGCUCACCAAGGCGACGACGGGUAGCCGGCCUGAGAGGGUGACCGGCCACACUGGGACUGAGACACGGCCCAGACUCCUACGGGAGGCAGCAGUGGGGAAUAUUGCACAAUGGGCGCAAGCCUGAUGCAGCGACGCCGCGUGAGGGACGACGGCCUUCGGAUUGUAAACCUCUUUUAGCAGGGAAGAAGCGAAAGUGACGGUACCUGCAGAAAAAGCACCGGCUAACUACGUGCCAGCAGCCGCCGUAAGAC